AGUAAGGGAGGUUUGGAACCCGGCGCAUCCCGGGGGUUUCGUUAACGCUUCAGGUUUUCGGCUUCUCCGCUCUGGGAGCGGCUGACGGGAUCCUCGCGGCCUCGCGGGCUAUUCCUGGGAGGGGCGUUUGUUUGGGAAUAAGGAAGGUCUGGAGUAGCGCCGUUCCCUGUGGAUGUACUGCGGGAGGCGAUGGACCUGUCCAUUGGGAUGUCCCGGGGCCGGAGGGUUGUUCAUUCGGCGGUCUCUGAACCCGAGUUCUCCACGCUCUCCCGCAUCCUGGAGGGAGACAGAUAAAGCUUGGAAGCUCCGGAGGUCCUGAUGGGAGAAAGGCAGAGGCUGCCGAGGUCAGCGGCUGUGCGAGGUGCUGAUGCCAGCUCGCCGGGGAUAGUCGGGGGUCUGUCACCAGGGGAUCGUUGACCGCCGUGGCUCAGGGAAGGGAUUUGAGCUCAAUGUCCCAAAUAGGAGCUCCCCAUUCGUGCCUUUGGCGACUAAAGCCGCCAUCGCCGCGGUUCAGGAGCAGACCUAAAUUCCCCCAAGUUCUGGUGUCAGCAGGAAGCGUCGUGGAAAUGCACAGAAAUUUCUUGGAGUUUCGCAUUGCCGGGCUCCUGCUCUGGUCAGUCACACCUCGGGUCUCCGGGUCGCCGCGGGGAGAACGGAGCCACUGCCAUAUUAAACCGAACCUGGCAAAUAACAGCCAAAUUAAAUUGCUCUGAGAAGUUCUGUACACGAUGUGUUAGCACACAAAGGUUUUAAGUUUAGAUUUCUUUGCUCCACAAAGCAUUUUCAUUUGAACUGCCACUGAUCAGCCUCAGAAUAAGCUCCUAGCACCUAGCCUAUCUCCUUUGUUUCUUUAGAAAUUGGAAACCAGGCUGAAUGCAGUUCAGUGUUCAUCUCAACAGCAGCAAAGAAUAGAUUUCCUGUAUCCAGACAAUUCAGCUUUUUCCUCAGAUGUUUCAAGUUCCACUACUGUGAGAGUGUACCCUCAAACUGUAUUUCUGGGUCUGAUGGGGAAAAUGGCAUCUGCGCCGAAGGAAGAACAUUUCACAGCAUGUAUUUCAGCAAUAGUCAACUCACAUCCAAUCCCAGACUGAAAUCCAGUACCCAUGUGUACAUAGGCUGGUAAACUAGAGUGGGCCUAUGAGUAUGAAGGUAAUCUUCAGCUCCUCUCAGAAAUGCUUUAUUUGUAUCAGAGGGUGAGAAAAACCUGUGCAUUUUCAUAGAUGUCUCUUUUCCAGUAAAGGUGUACCCAUCCACCUUAGUCCAAAUCAGUGAUUUUGUCUCAAGUGAUGCUAGAGGUGCCACAAUAUGGACGAGGCCAUUAGUAUCACUAUAUGCCAGUCCCUAAUGGAAACUGGAUUGUGGUGACUAGAGUAAGGAUUUAAGGCGCCUCAUGGCAUGUCUCAACAGGCUUUACAACCAAGUUCAUCUUACUUUUAUGCCAGUAUUGAUCCCAAGUCAACAGUAUAUUAAUAUAUAUUAUCACUUAAACUUCAGGUAAGUCACAAUCAUAUUUUCACCUUUCACUUUUAGGGACUUUGAGAAAUGGAAGAGCAGCAUUUCUUUGUUCUUUAAUUAGAGUAAAUCCUAGAGCUUGGUUUUGGUUCAAGGAACUUGACCAUAACAUCUAUGAAAUGCCAGAAUCAGGCAUAGGAGUACAUCACUUUUCUCUGUACAGCAGGUUUAGCAAGACUUAUUAGGCUAAUGAGGUUGGAUAGCUGUAUAAAUAGCUGAAUAUCUUGAUACGUGCACUUACAUCAAUGGUAAUAAUUGACAGGUCAUAUUUCUGAUCUUUGUAGUGGACAAGCUUGGAUGUCUUAAAAAUGCAUUGAAUUAUAAUGCAACCCAGCAAUAUGAAAAUAGAUACAAAGAUAAAACUGGUGAAAGGACUCAUAGCCCAAUACUUGAUUUAAAAACUGACAAAUAAACUUCUAAAUGUACAGCAAACUAACAACUGAUAAUAUGCUACUAAACUCAGGUCAAGCUGAAGUUGUUUCCUGUGCUUCCUGAAGUAGCAUAUUGUGCUUGUAAGUAUAAGUCAAAUUUUUAUUAGUGCAUUCUUUAUAAAAUUCAGCUGGAGCAAGAUGACAGAGUACCUAUUACAUGUAAUUGUUGCUUGUUGGAAAGCAGUGUGACUAAUGUUUGGAGGUUUGCUGCUGCUAUCUCAUACCCAUUUGUCACCAGAGGAAAUUGCAGGGUGCAUGAUAUUCAGAAGCCAGUUCUCUUUCAGCUCCUGCAGUCAUGCUGCUGUAUGGGCAUUAGAGGGAGGGGUGUUGUCCCUGUCACUUGUUUUGUCACCAGUCACACAGAUACAUUAAAGUGCUCCACCAUACCUAUGGCAAGCACACAUUCCAAAGCAUUAAAACUAAAUUUCAGGGUGUCUUCCUUACUACCAGCUUUUGCUUUAAUUAAACCUCUGGCUGCUGUGCACACAUCCCAGGCAGAUGCUCCUGAAAUAAAGACAAGAUAAAAAACACCAAAACUGCUUCAGAAUAGAGUGUCUUCAACAAAAAAGGGGCAAAUAAAAGAAGUAUAUCUUGCAUAAAAUACAGGUUAGAAGCAGAAAUUUGUUCUGAUGUUAACUGAAAAAUGAAAUACAUAUUAAAUGAUACAAUCUCAAGAAACAUUGUCAAAACACUGCGGCAAAUCAAAUUACUACACAGAAAUACAGUAGUGUCUCAUCUCACAAGUCCAGUCCCCUAUGGAGAGAAAACUGUGAGAACUGGGAGUCUUUGUGGGGAUCAGUCCUUGAGAUGUUGGCAGCACCCCACAAAGAGACCAGAGAGCCCAUCAAUUUCAGCAGAAGCCUUAAAACUGGCUAUGGAAAUUCUAUCUAUCUAUCUAUCUAUCUAUCUAUCUAUCUAUCUAUCUAUCUAUCUAUCUAUCUGUCUUUUUAUAUGCACUUAGGGAAAUCCAUGAAGACUUUCUAGAUCAUGGAAACCAAAAUGAGGCAAAACUGUAACAGUAAAAAAUGUUUUUACUGUUUACAGUAAGAAUGCACAAAGCAGCCCAGUAUCCAACAUACAUUAAGAAUAAGCUUCCCAUGUUAUUAGCCUGCUUUUUGCAAAUGCAUUGCCAUUUUAAUUAGAAUAAUUAUGAAAUGCUGAUACAAAUGGUUAUUAAUCAAAGCAUUUAUUUAAACAAAUUAGUUUAUAUGCUUACCUAAACAUAGAAUAAUUUCAGACAUCCUCUAUAAAAUAAAAAGCUGAAUGUAAGUACUGUACACAGGUUGAGUUACAGUGUACUUUUAACUGCUUACCAAAGUGAUGCUUUGUAGCCUUUCUCAGGUCUCCAAAGAGAAAGACAGUUUUCAGAAAUGUUAUUUAAUCUUUUUAUAAUUCCAACAGUUUGCUCUCCAUGUGCUUACUUCCCUGGUUUGUCAUCCACUCUGUUCUUAAGUCAAGCAUGGAAAUAAUUGUGCCAAAUGUAAAUUGAAAACAUUUGAUAACACUUAGACGUCUUUAUGCUGGUUCUUGUCUGCAAAAUUAGCUAACUGUAAUUUUUAAUGUUAUAUAUUUUUUCUUCAAAUUCAACUUUCAAAUUUAUUUCAAAUAAAAGUCAGUUAAUUCAUCUUUGGACAUGGAGGUGAAAACUAGCCUUACAUGCACAGAAAUGUACUGACAAAGGUGAUCUCAUAAUGUAAAAGUGUGAUUUAUUAGAGAAGAGCUUCAUUUUCCAUAGUCAGGGUUUUCAGAACAACCAGUGACAUAUCCAAAUACCUCUGGAAUUACCACCCAAACAAUUGAACUAAAUGAGGCACUGGGGACUAACUUGGCUCAUAACUGGGAGCUGCUGACAGCACGAUGAGCCUUGCUGCAGGGGGACAAGAACUGUCCUCUCCUGCCCUUGUCAUUCGCAAGGGACAGUAUCCCCAUGCCUGAGCAAUGGGAAUGUGCAGCCCAGCAUCCUUGAGCAAACCAGUGAUCAAGGCAGCAGUUAUCCCAAAAAGCCUUUUUUCCCCUCAGAAGCAGUGGAUGUCUCUGCUGUCUGCUCAGGGUUAGACAUUUGGCAGUGCGGCAGAGAAGACAACUGGGACACUCAUGGUUUUUAUUACACUGUUCAUCUGCCAACAUUUUACAGAAUCCAUAAAAACCACAAAAAGGAGUUUACACUUCAGGGAGGACCCACAGUAUUUGUUUCUUGGUUAAUGUUUUUUCAAUCAGCUACAGAUUACUGCUAUAACAGCUCUUUAGUCUUUACAACUGGUUUUCUCACUUGUGUUUAACGUGUUAAACACCUCAGCUCUAAUAUUUCUUUUUUUAAGUAGAAUAACGAUAACAACAAUGGAGCAAACUUGGAAAGUCUUGAUAUAUACAAUUUUAAAUAUCUGCUUGCAGUUGAAAAGGUGAUUUGCUUAGCUGCUGUCUUCAUAGCACCGAAAAAAAAUUUUGAAUAUUUGAAAGAUCAUUAGAAUUUUUCAAUACAAAAGAUACAUACAUAAGUAUGAAAGCAAGAGGAUGCAAGCCAAGCAAAACUGUAUUUCCUUACACAUGGAGGAGAUGGAUCAAAGUCUUAGCCAUUUUCUUAUUUCAGUAACUAUUAAAAGAACAAAUUUCUUCAAAUUAAGCUGCUGGCUUGCAGCUCUGGAUUUUUUACAGAUUUCUUACAGCCUCCUCACUGCAAUUUGAGAUACCUGGAUUCCCUGCUGCUCUGCACAGAUCUGUAUAGAUACUUAAACAAGUAGUCAUUUUUUCCCUCUCCCUAGAAUCUGCUACUGUUAGAUCCACCUUCACUCAAAUCCCUCUAGAGUGUGUCUAAUCCCAUAUUUGUUCACUAUAUCCUGUCUGCAUUUUUAAAAUACAAUACAGAGCCUAAACCUUAUAUCCCAGCUUAUCUACCACAGCUGCUCUACAUCAAGGCUGUGGCUGGUCCCAUCCUUGGGGAGAGGGAAAAGGGCUUUUUCUGUGGGCUGUGCCUGGAAAUCACCAUCUUUUCUGCUUGUUGAUGCUCCAGCUGCAGGCCACUCCAAACAUCACGGAAAGAAGUACCUGCAAGUCUUUGCUUCAGCAGGCACAGGAAUCAAUAUUUGCUAUGACAAGGACUUAGACCAGCCACGUUUCCAGUUCAGCUGUGCCUGUCUGGGCUGUAAAUAGACCCAUAUCCCAUCCUUUCAUUUUUAUCAGCUUGGAAAUUCUAUAGAAGUCGUUCAACAGGAGAUUCCAAGGAUUUCACAGGAAACCUUCCAUUACAAGAUUAUAGUGAUAUGCAGCAAGGCCAAUAUGAAUAUGCAUCUGCAGGGAGCAUAUUUCCAAGAAACCUCUGUCCAGUAAGAUUGUAACUCAUGAAUAUUCGUCUGGAAGAAGUGUAUUUCCAAGAAACCCAACAAGAUUACAACAUUUACACCCAAAACAACAUGAAUAUUUGUCUACAAGAAGUGUAUUCUAAGAGACCCCUGAAAAACCUGAAAACAUAUAAAAAGCACCUUGGGAUAGCUGCAGUUUGUGAAGCAUGGUGAAGCGGUGCUAGCAAGCCCUUCCCUGCCUCACCCGAUGCUGUUCACCUGGGACAGCGUCAAACUGAAUUUUGCUUAUGGCUUUUCACAAUUGUAUUUUUUAAUAAAUUCUUUUUUAUUAAUCAAAUUGCCUACUCAUUUAUAACAAGGACAACUUUGACCACCACUCAGUAUCUAAACUGUAAAAAACUAAUUUAUCUGUAGAAAUACUUUGUAGGGUCUGAAAAUUUAUUUCCAAAAAGGGUAGAUUUAAGGGAAAAAAUACACUUGAGUGUUCUUUCCAGCAUCAAUGAACUGGUAUGAAUUUGCUGUCUGAGAACACAGAAGGGGAAAGAGCUGCUCAGCAACCACUUCAGAGCUGUUAGGUGUCUCACUAGUCCUAAUGUAUAAUAAAAGUUGAUUUACAUUAUAAAAAGAAUUACUUGCAUUGUUUCCUUCUUACCAGUGAUUUACAUGUCAACAGGCAGACAAAGAUGUAUUAAUUUCAUGGCAAUGAUAUCACAAAGUGCCCUUGUUCAGGUAUCACUGAGGUCUCAAAAUCCCUGACAAGAGAUUUCCGAAUUUAACAUUCUUCACAUCUCCACCUCUCCCACCCACUCCAGGAUGUCUCAAGACUCCGUUUAUCUUUAUUAGGUUAUUAUCCUUAUUAUUCUCCCAUCUUGGAGAGUAAUCUUUGUCUGGGCCUGAUCAGGCAAAACACAAGAGGCUCGUACUCAAUACAGAUUUGAGUAGAAACUGGAACACAACAAUUUAUUUAAAGAAGCGUCUUCCUCAUGCUGCAUUCCUGUUACCCAACCACACCUUUCUGCCCUUCAGAGGAGCUUACAAAACUGGGAACCUGCUUAACAAGUUCACAUCAACCUUUUAUUACCCACAGGCAAAGACAGUUUCCUCCUUGUACUUGCUACAAUUCAGCUCUUCCACCUCCUCUUCUCUGGCAUUACAUGCUCCUUGUUCUUCCCAACCCUGCCAGACUCACUUCUUACCACACACCAAACAAGAGACCAUUCUUUGGAUUGCUUUAACCAGGUAACUUGUUUCACUUCUGAAGUGUCCCCACGAAUCUCACGGCCUGAGUUAUGAGUAAUUUUUUAAUUAACUUUUAUUAAAACCAGUGUACAUGUGCUUUUUCAGAAAAGGCUGUUCACAUGAAUAGGAAAGGUAACCCUAGAUUCCCUACUGGAGCUCACAAGGAUGGCUAUUUUAGCUUUUGAUUGUCUCUCAUGAAACAGAUCCAAAACUACACUACUGUAGUUUAACAAAACUGCCAGCCUUUCACUGGUGGGUUCAGUUGUGUCCAGAUACCACAGUGAUAUGUGGAAUUAGAAUGCACCAGGCCCAACCUUCCUUCACAUACAGCAAAAUAGUGUUCAUUGCAGACAAGACUGAAACCCCAAGACGAGAAGUGCACUAGGCAGGGCUGAUAAAAUGUGUAACUCACAAAGUUAAAUGUUCACCAUAAAGCAUAUAUCUUUUGCAGAUGCAGCAAAUAAAAGAACAGCUACAGCAAAUAGACACCACAGCUGGCAUGUUUCCUCACAAGGUUUGUGUAUUCCUCCUGCCAGCUUCUCCAGGCUCACUUGAACAAACAAUGAAUGUCCUAUUUAAUGUGAAAACAGCAAGAAAGCAAUUAAAAAUUUGAACAAAUGUAGCAAAAGACUUGAAAACACUCAGAUUAUGAACCUGAUGGGGUUUCUUGGUCCAUUUAACAUUAGGCCACAGAUGUAGCAGGUGGGAGAUACAGUAGGAUGGAACUACACACCAGGUGUCUUCUAGUGAAGAGUGGAAUCAAGCAAGCAGAAAAGCUCAGCAGUCUUUGAUACUUCAUGUUUGAAAAAUGGGAUCAUCAUUGAUCCAAGUCCAGCUCUUCUUUUGACUUCACAGUCAAGCUCUCUAUGAGACUGUGGCACUACCUACCCAAAAGAUCAGUAUUUUUACCUGCCUGUGAUCUUUUACAUUAAGGACUGUAACUCUGUGGAUCAAAGUAGGAAUUGUAGAUGUGAAAGACAACUUCUACCUCACUAGCUGAAAUCUGUGGAGCUCAGCCACAGUGCCUGAGGCAGAGCUAACCCCUGUCCUUACGAGCGCCCCAGAACUGCAAACACGAACACGCAACACCCAUGGAUGAAUACCUGCAUUGAGCUCACCAUGGCUGUUUACAUGCACAGGAUAUGUAACUUUGCAGGAUUUAAGCCAAAAUGCAAAACUGAUUUCUUACCUUGGCUUCACCACAGUAAGUUCUUCAUGCAGACACAAUACAAUUUCAGAGGCAAGAGUCAAGUUUUUAAAGAAAUCAACUGUUCCAGCAACGAUGACUGAAUAGAUCAAAACAGCAAACAACACUAUUUACUCACUGCUUUAAGACUGAAAAUACUAAGCUUUUGCCAUGUGGUCUUAGAAGCAAUGAAGCGAAGUAUUUGGUACAGAUCUUGAGGAUAUGACAAGCAUUGCAGCCAAGAAGACAGUUAUUUUCUUGUUCUGUUUGACCCAACACUUGACAAACCUGUGUUUUGAAUAAGUACAUGCAUUGAACAUGGCUAGGAAAAGUCACAUCAGAGAGCCUGGCUAUUACUGGAUAUUACUAAGCCUGCUACUAACCACUUCACAGCCUUGCUGUUUUGAUAGGCUUUAGAUACUCAGAGGGCUGCAGGGCAGUCAGUGUGCUGUACUGGCUGGCCCCAGCUAUGCUCAGUCCUAGGUUUAUGUGUUCCAUGCAUUUAGCCUUUUUCUUUAGCCCACAUAGGAUAACCUUCCUUAGAAGCCAUUUCAGCUUCUUAAGAGCUGAAGAGCAUUUUGAGAUUGUGAGAAAGGCCCUUCUUUGGCAAUGGGCUGUUGGAAUUGCAACUUGUUUGCUUGUACUGCAGAGAUCUUACUCCUCCCUCAAGCCCUGAGAAAAUUCUCAAAGCCGUAGUUGUGUGUAAUUAUAUCUGGUUGCUCAGUUCCAUUGCCUAAAGUCCUUAACUCCUUGUUCCUCCUCAAAAUCCCCUUUUGAAGGUGAUAUGAUAUUCAUUGGUAGUCUUUUCCCCGUCCAACCCUCUCUUGCUGGGUUCCCUUUCUGUCUGUACCAUGUCAGGGUUAUGCUGCAGGCAAGACCUUCUUAUUUGGGUGCUUCCCAACAGUCUGACCUGCAGCUAAAAGCAACUGCUCCAGCAGCACAGGGUUAUCACACUGCCCAGUCACUGUGUCACACUUGAUCUCAUUCAUUCUUCUAGAGAUUUAUCUCCAAAGAAACCCAACCCAAGAUUCUAAUAUAAAAAUCCUAGAGGUAAUUCUUUCAGAUUUUCAUUGUUCUCCCCAGUUUCCAAACUAGAAACUUCUUUAAGGAAAAUUAAGUGUAAAUGCAGCAGGCUUUCCUAGCAGGUAAGAAAUGAAAUUGCUGGUGUAAUGCUCUAAUUACUACCAAAAUAGACUGUUACCUGCCAAAUCAAUACAUAACCUUAAAUAUGCUGAGUAAUAGAGAUAAGCAAUGGUACUAGUAGAGGUCAGCUUUCUUCUGAAUCUUGAAAAUUCACAUUGCUAAAACAUAAGAAAACUCAUUUUUCUUUUGAUGUGAUAAUUCACUGCAUGAUUUAACUCAAUAUUAAUACAGUUAGAAAAAUUAAUGAAUAGUGUAUUAGAAAAAUACUGAAGGACAAACAAGCCAAUGCAGCAGUUAUUAAUAAAAAUAGCUGGGUUGAGUAGCAUUACUGCUUCUUUGCUGCAGUGAUCAAGUCAAUGCCUGAAAAGCUGCACUUCAAAGAUGCAAGUUGAAGACUGCUUUCAGAAAAAAUAACAUGUAAGACUGGAACUAAACAGGAUUGAUUUUAAUAUACAAAAUGGCUUCAGUGAUAAUUUAAAAGCCAAUGUAAUGCUCUAAACCCUUUUAGAUUCCAUUUCAAAUAAACCACAAGGAAAGGUCUUGGGUUUUUUUUAUGAAGCUGUUAAGAUGAUAAUAUUUCAAAGUUAUGACGCAGAACUCCCUAGAGUAAAGCACCCAGACCUGCAGUUAUCUCUGCACCACCCACAAGAGUGGAUACAAAAAGUAAUGACAUUGGGCAGGUUUCACCUUGCUCUUAAAACAUACAGCUUAUCUGAAACACAGUAGGUGAAAAUAUAAAACCCGAAGCAGUGAACAGUGAGUUGUGAAUCAGCACUGUCAAAGGAAACAGAAAUACAUACUGGACAAUUGCAGUUUUUUAUCACUAAAGCAAAGAGAGGCUGCAAUCUUUCGAGUUUUUUUCUGUGACAAACUCAGCCUAGAAUAUAAUACAAAUCUGUAUAAAACAAAGGGGAGGAAAAGAUGAACCUGGAUGUACUUUAAUUAAAUAUAACCAGAUGGCCUGUAUGCAGUGCACAGAUUUGGGUCAGCCUUUGCUGUUAAGUGAAAUUCAUCUGUAAAAACCAGAAAAUCUACUACCUAUACAGAUUUGUAUUUUACUGGUGGACAAAUAUGGAAGGCAUCCUUGAAAAGUAUAUCCAAAACAUAUUUGGAAAUUUUCUUAUUUAACUUUUUUUCCCAAAAGUUCCCAUGAUUUGGACUUUGUCAGCCCAGAGGCGCUGACAGCCCAUCUUGCAUUAUAAAUCAACAGGAGCUCUGUAAGAGUGAAAGUCUGAGCUAAUCAUCUGCAGCAUGAGGGAAGGAAGACAAAGUUCAGGCCAGCAUUAUUCUGCCAGCUGCAGAACAUUCCAGCUGUCUGAACUGUUUACAAAUUAGGAAUAUAGUUGAUGUAGAUUAUCCCAGAUGGCAUAUAUCAUAGGAUUAUUUAUUUUUAAAUGAAUAACUGCAGAACUACAUCCAUGGGAAGUAUUUAUAGUGCACACAGUUCUUUGAAAGAGCUCCCCAGCUUGGCAGUCUGUCACAUGUACGAAGCACAUGGUGAUUAAAACCAGAGUCAGAGACAAUAAUUGCAAGUUAUGCACCUUCAGGAAGUUACAACAGACCUGCUAUCAGGGCAUUAGCUCUCAUUUAGCAGAGACACUAAAGGUACAAGUAGUUGAUCAGAAUACUUUCAGCUAAAGUUCAGAUUAAUAUAUUUUCACUACCUAAAAUAAACAUUUUCUUCUAAACAUUCUUUACUUGUCUGGUAUUAUUGGUAGUCAGAACUUUUAAAGUAGUUACUAAAAAUAAGGUUCUGAGUGUCAGUGUGCUGUUCAAGUAUGAGAUCUGUAAGCUAAGCCAGACUGCCAUCCUUCACUCUGUUACAUUUUGCUUUUGAACACAGAUUUCUUUUAUAAGAGUAAAAACACCCAGAGUGAGAUUUUUACUUUCUUUAAUUUAAAGAUUGUAUUACAGAAAAGUUUAAGUAAGGAAUCCUUAUAAGGAUUAACUCUUGACAUAAUAUAUUGCCAAGAUACAGUGUAGCUGCAAGGGCUCCAGGUGAACCUUCAUAUAAGUUGCUUUCUUACAUACAGAGUCGCUGAACAACAUAAAUUGUAUUCCCCAUCUGUAAGAGAAGACAGUGGUAUUGAAACAGUCCUUUUACCAGUGUGUUCUGGUUUUCCCAAAUUAGAAACAUGCCAUAUUAAAACCGUAAAAUCCUACUGUAUAGAAAGGUGAUAGAGAUGAACUUUCUAAAGAUUGCAACUGAUGAAACAUUAAAAUGAAAACUAAGGAGUGUUGAUAAUGUAAAAUGGUUUCUCUUUUACUGGCAGG